GCGACCCCAGGUCAGCGGGAACUACCCGCGAGUUUAAGCAUAUAAAUAAGCAGAGGAGAAGAAACUUAACAAGGAUUCCCCUAGUAACGGCGACCGAACCGGGAGCAGCCCAGCUUGAAUCGGGCGGCUGUGCCAUCGAAUUGUAGUCUGGAGAGCGUCCUCAGCGACGACCGGGCCCAAGUCCCCUGGAAGGGCCGCCUGGGAGGUGAGAGCCCCGUCCAGCCCGACCCUGUCGCCCCACGAGCGCCAUCAACGAGUCGGGUGUUGGAAUGCAGCCCAAAUCGGGCGGUGUAGACUCCGUCCAAGGCUAAAUACAGGCGAGAGACCGAUAGCGAACAAGUAACGCGAGGAAAGAUGAAAAGGACUUUUGAAAAGAGAGUCAAAGAAUGCUUGAAAUUGCCGGAGGAAGCGGAUGGGGGCCGCGAUGCACCCCGGCCGUAUGCGAAUGGCUCUUCUAGUCCGCCGCUCGGCUCGGGUGUGGAUGUUGUCGGCCGCGCUGGCGGCCAAAGCCCGGGGGCCCUAGUGCCCCGUGCGUCGUCGGCACGGCCGUACCCGCGCGCCGAAAGGCGUGUCCCUCGGGGCACUGCGCUCCAACGCCUGCGGGCUCCCCAUCCAACCGUCCCUGAAACACGGACCAAGGAGCAUGACAUGCGUGCGAGUGACGGGUCUGAAAACCUGGAUGCGCAAGGAAGCUGACGAGCGGAGGCCCUCACGGCCGCACCGCUGGCACCCUGAUCUUGUGUGAAGGUCGAGUUGGAGCACGCCUGUGGGCCCGAAAGAUGGUGAAUAUGCCUGAGCGGCGAAGCCAGAGAAAACUCUGGUGGAGGCUCGAAGCGAUACUGACGUGCAAAUCAUUCGUCUACUUUGUAUAGGGCGAAAGACUAAUCGAACCAUCUAGUAGCUGGUUCCCUCGAAGUUUCCCUCAGGAUAGCUGGAGCCCAUUACGAGUUCUAUCAGGUAAACAAUGAUUAGAGGCAUCAGGGAUGCAACGUCCUCGACCUAUUCUCAAACUUUUAAAUAGGUAGGAUGCAGGCUGCUUCGGUGAGCCAUGCCACGAAUCGGGUGCUCCAAGUGGGCCAUUUUGUAAGCAAACUGGCAAUGCGGAUGAACCGGAAGCCAGGUACGGUGCCCAACUCCGCUAACCUAGAAACCCACAAAUUUGGUCGAUUAAGACAGUAGGACGGUGGUCAUGAAGUCGAAAUCCGCUAAGGAGGUGUAACAACUCACCUGCCGAAUCAACUAGCCCCGAAAAGGAUGCGCUGAAGCGCGCGACCCACACCAGCCAUCUGGCGAGCGCCAUCCCGAUGAGUAGGAGGGCGCGGCGGCCACUGCAAAACCCGGGCGUGAGCCCGGGCGGACGCCGUCGUGCAGAUCUGGUGGUAGUAGCAAUAUUCAAAUGAGAACUUUGAAGGCCGAAGAGAGAAAGUUCCAUGAACGACACUGCACAUGGGUAAGCCGAUCCUAAGGACGGGUAACCCCGCAAUAGCGCGAUCACGCGCAUCCCCCGAAAGGAAUCGUUUAAGAUUUCCCGACCGGAUGUGGCGGUUGACAGCGACGUUAGAAGUCGGAGACCCGGCGGCCUCGGAAAGAGUUAUCUUUUCUGCUUAAACGCCUGCCAACCCUGGAAACGGUUCAGCCGGAGUAGGUCCAGUGGCCGGAAGAUCACCGGACGUCGUGCGGUGUUCCGGUGCGCCCCGGCGCCCAGAAAAUCGGAGGACCGAUUACCGUUCACGCCCGGUCUACUCAUAACCGCAUCAGUCUCCAAGUGAAUAGCCUCUGGCCAAUGGAACAAUUAGGCAAGGAACGCGCAAAAACGGAUCCGUAACUUCGGGAAAAGGAUUGGCUAUGGACUGGGCUCGGGGUCCCGGCCCCGAACCCGUCGGCUGUCGCGGGAUUCUCGAGCUGCUCACGCGGCAAGAGCGGGUCGCCGCAUGCCCCGGGACGGACCGGGAAUCGCCCCUUCGGGGCUUCCCGAGCAUGAAACAGCUCAACUCAGAACUGUACGGACAAGGGAAUCGACUGUUAAUUAAAACAAAGCAUUGUGAUGUCCUCGCGGAUGCUGACGCAAUGUCAAAGUGAAGAAAUUCAACCAAGCGCGGUAAACGGCGGGAGUAAACUAUGACUCUCUUAAGUAGCCAAUGCCUCGUCAUCUAAUUAGUGACGCACAUGAAUGGAUUAACGAGAUUCCCACUGUCCCUGUCUACUAUCCAGCGAAACCACAACCAAGGGAUCGGCUGGCGGAAUCACGGGGAAAGAAGACCCUGUUGAGCUUGACUCUAGUCCGACUUUGUGAAAUGACUGAGAGGUGUAGGAUAAGUGGGAUCCCUCACGGGCGCAAGUGAAUACCACUACUUUUAACGUUAUUUUACUUAUUCCGUGGUCGGAAGCGGCAUGUCCCCUCUUUUGGCUCCAAGGCCCGGUCUUACCGGCCAAUCCUGCAGAAAGACAUUGUCAGGUGGGAGUUGUGGGCGGCACAUCUGUUAAAAGAUAACGCGUGUCCUAAGAUGAGCUCAACAGAACAGAAAUCUCUGUGGAACAAAAGGUAAAAGCUCGUUUGAUUCUGAUUUCCAGUACGAAUACGAACCUGAAAGCGUGCCUAUCGAUCCUUUAGUCUUCGGAUUGAAGCUAGAGUGUCAGAAAAGUACCACAGGAUAACUGGAUUGUGGCAGCCAAGCUUCAUAGAGACGUUGCUUUUGAUCCUUCGAUGUCGGCUCUUCCUACCAGUGUCAACAGAAUUCACCAAGUGUGGAUUGCUCACCCACAAUUAGGAACGUGAGCUGGGUUUAGACCGUCGUGAGACAGUUAGUAUUACCCUACUGAUGACAGUGUCCGAUAGUAAUUCAACCUAGUACGAGAACCGUUGAUUCACACAAUUGCUCAUCGCGCUUGGUGAAAACCCAUGGCGCGAAGCUACCGUGUGCCGGAUUAUGCUGAACGCCUCUAAGUCAGAAUCAAAGCUAGCAUGCGAUGCCUACGCCCGCCGCCUGCCCCGACCCACGUUAGGCGCUUGCGCCCCCAAGGGCCCUGCCAUUGGCUAAGCCGUCCGGCCGACUCCGCGGCCGCCGCCUCGAACUCCCUUCCCAACGGGCGCUGAAUCCUUGCACGACUUAAAUCGCACGGGCAUAAGUGCAGAUCCUUGCCACGAUCCACUGAGACCACCCCAUGACGCACGGAUUCGUCCCUCCCCCAC
rnacentral:rRNA from 1 species